CACGCUGUAAACGAUGAAUACUAGUCAUUGGUCUUUUAGGUCAGUGACGAAGCUAACGCGAUAAGUAUUCCGCCUGGGAAGUACGGUCGCAAGACUAAAACUCAAAGGAAUUGACGGGGGCCCGCACAAGCGGUGGAUUAUGUGGUUUAAUUCGAAGGUACACGCAGAACCUUACCUAGGUUUGAAAUCCUUCUAAGUCGGGGUAAUGCCUGAUGUGCCCGCAAGGGAAAGAAGUGACAGGUGC
rnacentral:rRNA from 1 species